rnacentral:lncRNA from 10 species
UAGAAACAGGCUCUUGUUCUGUCACCCAUACUUGGAGUGCAGUGGUACAAUGAUAGCUCACUGCAGCCUCAAACUCCUGGUCUCAAGCAAUCCUCUCACCUCAGCCUCCCAGAAAAAAAAGGCCUUAUGAAGACAUUGCAAAAGGACAACUAUCUGCAAACCAGGAAGACAGACCUCACCAGAAAUCAACCCUGCUGGUGGUACCUUGAUCUUAGACUUCCAGCCUCCAGAAGUUGCCAGAUGCAGUGACUCAUGCCUAUAAUCCCAGUACUUUGGAAGGUCAAGGCACAAGGAUCCAUUGAGGCCAGGAGUCCAAGACCAGCCUGCACAAUGUAGCAAGACUCCUUCUCUACAAAAAAAUAAAUAAAAAUUAGCCAGGCAUGGUGGUGCACUCCUGUAGUCCCAGCUACUCAAGAGGCUGAUGUAGAGAAUCGCAUUAUCCCAGAGGUCAAGGCUGCAGUGAGCCGUGAUCAUGCCUCUGCACUCCAGCCUGGACGAUAGAGCAAGACUUUAUCUCAAAAAACAAAAAUUUAAAAAGAUAUCAGGUAGCUCAUAGAAUUGUUGAGAGGGCUGUAAAACCAGGCUUGAACUUAAACAGCAACGAUAAACCACCCACAGAACGGACAUGAUGAAGAAGUUGGCAAAUGUUACCAACUGUCCUGGUUUUUUUGGUGACUGUAGUUUCCAAGGAUUCAGAUCCUUCCAUGCCAAAAUCUGAAAAAUGCUGGGCAAAGUAUGACUGACAAUGUGGUAAUCUUACAGCUAGCACUAGAGACAUCAAGCACUAGACAACACAAUUUGCCCUUUGGCCACUUAUACAAUGGGAACUCACGCUUGCAGUAACCUCUAUUGCCACUAGGAGAGAGAAACACAGAAGGAGGAAGGGAGAAGGGAGAGAGAGGAAAAAAACUGUUGCUUGUCUCCUUAGCUGUGAGUCAAAGGUCUAACACAGAUGUCUGGCUGAAAAGCCUAGGUCACAUGCCUGCACCCCAGAGAAAGUAUGUGACAUCUUCUGCUUCCAUUAUGGGAAACAGCCUUUGCUUGUCACGAAGAUUUACAUGGUGAGACAUAUCCUAAAUAUAGGGAAGCUGUUGAAGUGGCCCAAAUAAUGACCAAUUUCUACUAAUUUGUACUAAUAUCCAAAUUACUUUUAAUUAUCUAAUAUUACUUAGAUACAGUGAGGCAACCAUUCGUUGGAUAUAUAAUGGUUUCUUUGAUUUCAAAAAUCUUUUUUUAUGUAAUAUAUGUCUGAAGACCAUCAAAAUAAAUUCUUAAAGUCAGAUUAAUAGGAUGUUACUUAUAAUAUUAUUGUAAUUAUUUGACCACAUAAUAGUUUAUGCCCAUUAUAUACUAUGUAAUUGUAUGAUGGAAAUAAUGCUGUACUUUGUUUGUAAAAGUUUAAUUAUCCUGACCUUUGUUCAUCAUAAAGAAUUGCUCCAUUUCUAUUAUUUAUCGAGGAAAAAAGUUUCUCUCUUUUUGUUUUUAAUAUGUCAUUAGGAGAAGAGUAGUUACACGUAGGCUAGAGUGUUUGCCAAGAAGAAAUUGAUUUUAAUGGGAACCUUUUAUCUAAGACAAACUUUAAGAAGAGCAGUAAUGGACAAUGUGUUCUGUGCAACUCUUCAGCCUUCAGUCUCACAUUCAUUGUGGUCAAGUAUUUUCAGCAAAGAAUAACAAGUCAGAGUUUGUGUAUAUUUUUCAUAGCUGUUCAUUCUCUUACAGAGUAACCUUGAACAAACCUCUUAAGAUUUGUGUUUUAUCUUCAUAUACUGAAAUACAAAAUGGGAAUGCCUAUAUUUAAUCAAAGAUAUAAUUUUUACUGAUAGAUAGUAAAGAACAAAACACUGGAACAAGAAUUCCUGUCCUGCCUUUCACAAUGUGGUUUUGAGGCCUUGGCCAUGUCACUUAAAUUCUCAUAUCUGUUUUCUCAAUCUAUAAAUGAUCAUAAUACCUGCACUAUCUGUCUCAAAUUGCAUAUGUGAAAGCAUCUUAAAGGUACAAAACAAUAAAUACAAAGCAUUAUUAUUAAAUUAUUACACCUUCCAGCAUUUAAUGCUAAAAAUGCCAAAUGCGUCCUUUGGUUAUAUGUAGGAAAUAUGUCUCAGAAAAAUCAAUUUAAAAUUAUAGAAGCUAACAGGUAAGUCAUUUUAAGUGUGUGGUUAUCUUCUGCAUGGCAGAUUUUUAAAUGGUAAUUAUUAAUGAAGUUUUCCUAUACUUACUGUUUCCAAGACUCCAUUCUUUCCAAAGUUUUCUGAGUUAUGCUUAUCAUCCCUUAAGUCUUAGGGAUGCUCUUCUGAGCUUUUGGG